rnacentral:rRNA from 1 species
AGCUUUUUGUAAUAAUAAAAAGUACUUCCUGCUCCAUGAAAACUUUAAUAGCCGCAGAAUUUUACUGUGCUAAGGUAGCAUAAUCACUUGUCUUUUAAUUCAAGAAUUGAAUGAAUGGAAAAACGAAUUCUAAUCUGUUUUAUUUAUUUUCAAUAAAACUAUAUAAAAGUAAAAACCCUUUUUAACAAAUAAAAAGACGACAAGACCCUACUGAACUUUACUAAAGUUAAGCUGGGGCGGCUAUUUAAAAAAAUCUUACUUUAUUUAUAAAAUACCUAAUUAUAACAUAGCAGUUACCAUAGGGAUAACAGCAUAAUUUAGUUUAACAGUUCUUAUUUACAACUAAGAUUAUGACCUCGAUGUUGAAUUAAAAUUCUCUUAAACGUAAAAAAUUAACAAGAAAGUCUGUUCGACUUAUAACUAUUUACA